rnacentral:rRNA from 1 species
CACGUAUUUAGCCGGGGCUCCUUGGUCAGGUACCGUCAUUCUCUUCCCUGCUGACAGAGCUUUACAUACCGGAGUACUCCAUCGCUCACGCGGCGUCGCUGCAUCAGGGUUGCCCCCAUUGUGCAAUAUCCCCCACUGCUGCCUCCCGUAGGAGUCUGGGCCGUGUCUCAGUCCCAAUGUGGCCGUCCACCCUCUCAGGCCGGCUACUGAUCGUCGCCUUGGUGGCCGUUACCCCGCCAACCAGCUAAUCAGACGCGGACCCAUCCCGCACCGCACAAGGCUUUCGCACCGCCCAUGUGGGGCUGUGCGCAUAUGCGGUAUUAGCAGCCCGUUUCCGGCUGUUGUCCCCCAGUGCGGGGUAGGUUGUCCACGCGUUACUCACCCGUCCGCCACUCAGUCACAGAGGCUUCCCGUCCCCGGAGGGACUUCCACCUAAGUGCUUCGUUCGACUUGCAUGUGUUAGGCACGCCGCCAGCGUUCACUCCGUGUAGCCGAGGACUACGUAAA